rnacentral:rRNA from 1 species
GUCUUAUUGAAAAUUAUUUUAAGUCUAAUCUGCCCACUGAGAAUUUAAAUGGCCGCGGUAUUUUGACCGUGCAAAGGUAGCAUAAUCAUUAGUUUUUUAAUUGAAAGCUGGAAUGAAAGAUUGAAUGAGAAAAUAGCUGUCUCUUGAAUAAUAAUUGAAUUUUAUUUUUAAGUAAAAAAGCUUAAAUUUUAUUAAAAGACGAGAAGACCCUAUAGAGUUUAAUUUUUAAGAAAUAAGUUAAUUUUAGUAUUUAGUAUUAAUUUAUUUUUUAAUAAUUUAAUUGGGGUGAUUAAAAAAUUAAAUAAACUUUUUUUAUUUUUAAUUCAAUAAUAUUUGUAUGUAUGAUCCAAAAUUUUUUGAUUAUAAGAUUAAAUUACCUUAGGGAUAACAGCGUAAUUUUUUUUGAGAGUUCUUAUUGAAAAAAAAGUUUGCGACCUCGAUGUUGGAUUAAAAUUUAAUUUUGGUGCAGAAGCUAAAAAUUUAAGUCUGUUCGACUUUUAAAAUUUUACA